CAGCAGCCGCGGUAAUACGGAGGGAGCUAGCGUUGUUCGGAAUCACUGGGCGUAAAGCGCACGUAGGCGGCUAUUCAAGUCAGGGGUGAAAGCCCGGGGCUCAACCCCGGAACUGCCUUUGAAACUAGAUAGCUUGAAUCCUGGAGAGGCGAGUGGAAUUCCGAGUGUAGAGGUGAAAUUCGUAGAUAUUCGGAAGAACACCAGUGGCGAAGGCGACUCGCUGGACAAGUAUUGACGCUGAGGUGCGAAAGCGUGGGGAGCAAACAGGAUUAGAUACCCCCGUAGUCCCUGUCUCUUAUAA
rnacentral:rRNA from 1 species